rnacentral:rRNA from 1 species
ACCAGGGCUUGACAUCCCUUGAAGCAGCUAGAGAUUAGCUGGUGUCCUUCGGGACAAGGAGACAGGUGGUGCAUGGUUGUCGUCAGCUCGUGUCGUGAGAUGUUGGGUUAAGUCCCGCAACGAGCGCAACCCCUGUGGUUAGUUGCCAGCAAGUAGCGUUGGGCACUCUAGCCAGACUGCCGGUGAUAAUCGGAGGAAGGUGGGGACGACGUCAAAUCAUCAUGCCCUUUAUGUCCUGGGCUACACACGUACUACAAUGGCCGUUACAACGGGAAGCGAAGGAGCAAUCCGGAGCAAAUCCCUUAAAGGCGGUCCCAGUUCAGAUUGUGGGCUGAAACUCGCCCACAUGAAGGCGGAAUUGCUAGUAAUUGCAGAUCAGCAUGCUGCAGUGAAUACGUUCCCGGGCCUU